GGUUAAGUUAGAAAGGGCGCACGGUGGAUGCCUUGACACUAGGAGUCGAUGAAGGACGGGACUAACGCCGAUAUGCUUCGGGGAGCUGUAAGUAAGCUUUGAUCCGAAGAUUUCCGAAUGGGGAAACCCACCAUACGUAAUGGUAUGGUAUCCUUAUCUGAAUACAUAGGGUAAGGAAGACAGACCCAGGGAACUGAAACAUCUAAGUACCUGGAGGAAGAGAAAGCAAAUGCGAUUUCCUGAGUAGCGGCGAGCGAAACGGAACAUAGCCCAAACCAAGAGGCUUGCCUCUUGGGGUUGUAGGACAUUCUAUACGGAGUUACAAAGGAACGAGGUAGACGAAGCGACCUGGAAAGGUCCGUCGUAGAGGGUAACAACCCCGUAGUCGAAACUUCGUUCUCUCUUGAAUGUAUCCUGAGUACGGCGGAACACGUGAAAUUCCGUCGGAAUCUGGGAGGACCAUCUCCCAAGGCUAAAUACUCCCUAGUGAUCGAUAGUGAACCAGUACCGUGAGGGAAAGGUGAAAAGCACCCCGGAAGGGGAGUGAAAGAGAUCCUGAAACCGUGUGCCUACAAAUAGUCAGAGCCCGUUAACGGGUGAUGGCGUGCCUUUUGUAGAAUGAACCGGCGAGUUACGAUCCCGUGCGAGGUUAAGCUGAAGAGGCGGAGCCGCAGCGAAAGCGAGUCUGAAUAGGGCGUUUAGUACGUGGUCGUAGACCCGAAACCAGGUGAUCUACCCAUGUCCAGGGUGAAGUUCAGGUAACACUGAAUGGAGGCCCGAACCCACGCACGUUGAAAAGUGCGGGGAUGAGGUGUGGGUAGCGGAGAAAUUCCAAUCGAACCUGGAGAUAGCUGGUUCUCCCCGAAAUAGCUUUAGGGCUAGCCUUAAGUGUAAGAGUCUUGGAGGUAGAGCACUGAUUGGACUAGGGGUCCUCAUCGGAUUACCGAAUUCAGUCAAACUCCGAAUGCCAAUGACUUAUCCUUAGGAGUCAGACUGCGAGUGAUAAGAUCCGUAGUCAAAAGGGAAACAGCCCAGACCGCCAGCUAAGGUCCCAAAGUGUGUAUUAAGUGGAAAAGGAUGUGGAGUUGCUUAGACAACUAGGAUGUUGGCUUAGAAGCAGCCACCAUUUAAAGAGUGCGUAAUAGCUCACUAGUCGAGUGACUCUGCGCCGAAAAUGUACCGGGGCUAAAUACACCACCGAAGCUGCGGAUUGAUACCAAUGGUAUCAGUGGUAGGGGAGCGUUCUAAGGACAGUGAAGUCAGACCGGAAGGACUGGUGGAGUGCUUAGAAGUGAGAAUGCCGGUAUGAGUAGCGAAAGACGGGUGAGAAUCCCGUCCACCGAAUGCCUAAGGUUUCCUGAGGAAGGCUCGUCCGCUCAGGGUUAGUCAGGACCUAAGCCGAGGCCGACAGGCGUAGGCGAUGGACAACAGGUUGAUAUUCCUGUACCACCUCUUUAUCGUUUGAGCAAUGGAGGGACGCAGAAGGAUAGAAGAAGCGUGCGAUUGGUUGUGCACGUCCAAGCAGUUAGGCUGAUAAGUAGGCAAAUCCGCUUAUCGUAAAGGCUGAGCUGUGAUGGGGAAGCUCCUUAUGGAGCGAAGUCUUUGAUUCCCCGCUGCCAAGAAAAGCUUCUAGCGAGAUAAAAGGUGCCUGUACCGCAAACCGACACAGGUAGGCGAGGAGAGAAUCCUAAGGUGUGCGAGAGAACUCUGGUUAAGGAACUCGGCAAAAUGACCCCGUAACUUCGGGAGAAGGGGUGCUUUCUUAACGGAAAGCCGCAGUGAAUAGGCCCAAGCGACUGUUUAGCAAAAACACAGCUCUCUGCGAAGCCGUAAGGCGAAGUAUAGGGGGUGACACCUGCCCGGUGCUGGAAGGUUAAGGAGAGGGGUUAGCGUAAGCGAAGCUCUGAACUGAAGCCCCAGUAAACGGCGGCCGUAACUAUAACGGUCCUAAGGUAGCGAAAUUCCUUGUCGGGUAAGUUCCGACCCGCACGAAAGGUGUAACGAUUUGGGCACUGUCUCAACCAGAGACUCGGUGAAAUUAUAGUACCUGUGAAGAUGCAGGUUACCCGCGACAGGACGGAAAGACCCCGUGGAGCUUUACUGUAGCCUGAUAUUGAAUUUUGGUACAGUUUGUACAGGAUAGGCGGGAGCCAUUGAAACCGGAGCGCUAGCUUCGGUGGAGGCGCUGGUGGGAUACCGCCCUGACUGUAUUGAAAUUCUAACCUACGGGUCUUAUCGACCCGGGAGACAGUGUCAGGUGGGCAGUUUGACUGGGGCGGUCGCCUCCUAAAGUGUAACGGAGGCGCCCAAAGGUUCCCUCAGAAUGGUUGGAAAUCAUUCGUAGAGUGCAAAGGCAUAAGGGAGCUUGACUGCGAGACCUACAAGUCGAGCAGGGACGAAAGUCGGGCUUAGUGAUCCGGUGGUUCCGCAUGGAAGGGCCAUCGCUCAACGGAUAAAAGCUACCCCGGGGAUAACAGGCUUAUCUCCCCCAAGAGUCCACAUCGACGGGGAGGUUUGGCACCUCGAUGUCGGCUCAUCGCAUCCUGGGGCUGUAGUCGGUCCCAAGGGUUGGGCUGUUCGCCCAUUAAAGCGGUACGCGAGCUGGGUUCAGAACGUCGUGAGACAGUUCGGUCCCUAUCCGUCGUGGGCGUAGGAAAUUUGAGAGGAGCUGUCCUUAGUACGAGAGGACCGGGAUGGACGCACCGCUGGUGUACCAGUUGUUCUGCCAAGGGCAUAGCUGGGUAGCUAUGUGCGGAAGGGAUAAGUGCUGAAAGCAUCUAAGCAUGAAGCCCCCCUCAAGAUGAGAUUUCCCAUAGCGUAAGCUAGUAAGAUCCCUGAAAGAUGAUCAGGUUGAUAGGUUCGAGGUGGAAGCAUGGUGAAAUGUGGAGCUGACGAAUACUAAUAGAUCGAGGACUUAACCAU
rnacentral:rRNA from 1 species